UGGGUGCAUCCCAUCAGGGCCCAAGGAUUUCUGUGCAUUAAUUUUGGCUAGAUUGUCUCUGAAAAUAUCCUGCUCUACCCAAGAGAAGUCUUCUAUUCCCCAGACUCUCUCUCCUACCUCCAGGGUCCGGGAUUCCAAAGGGUCAGUCUUGGUAGUAAAGACAGAAGAAGGAGUUCAGCAUCUCCACUUACUCAGCGUCUCCUGUUACCAGGCACUCUAGCCCAUGAGAUACCUACAAGGUCCUUGAAGAGGUAGAAGACGGCUCUCCUGAAAUCCAGGCUGAUCAUGGCCCACUUUAAACAUGGCUGUUUCAUAUGACCUGGAAUGUAACAGUGGAAAUGCGGCCUCCUAAAAAAGCCUUUGUACUUUUAUAAAAAUUCCCUUUGCUUAUGAAUUAUUUAGUGUCAGA